rnacentral:rRNA from 1 species
AGUGAACGCUGGCGGUAGGCCUAACACAUGCAAGUCGAACGGCAGCACAGGAGAGCUUGCUCUCUGGGUGGCGAGUGGCGGACGGGUGAGGAAUACAUCGGAAUCUACUCUGUCGUGGGGGAUAACGUAGGGAAACUUACGCUAAUACCGCAUACGACCUACGGGUGAAAGCAGGGGACCUUCGGGCCUUGCGCGAUUGAAUGAGCCGAUGUCGGAUUAGCUAGUUGGCGGGGUAAAGGCCCACCAAGGCGACGGUCCGUAGCUGGUCUGAGAGGAUGAUCAGCCACACUGGAACUGAGACACGGUCCAGACUCCUACGGGAGGCAGCAGUGGGGAAUAUUGGACAAUGGGCGCAAGCCUGAUCCAGCCAUACCGCGUGGGUGAAGAAGGCCUUCGGGUUGUAAAGCCCUUUUGUUGGGAAAGAAAUCCAGCUGGCUAAUACCCGGUUGGGAUGACGGUACCCAAAGAACAAGCACCGGCUAACUUCGUGCCAGCCGCCGCAGUAA